rnacentral:lncRNA from 1 species
GAUUUAUUUUAUUUUGUUAAUGGUAUUUGGUAGUUGUAUGUUAACAUUACUAUAGCCUAAAACAUUCCACUGCUAUGUAAACAGACAGGCCCAUGGCUGCCUUAUAAAUAAAUAUCAAGCUAUAGGAAGGAAAAGGAACUGUUGGGCGUCACGUGACUAAGGCAGUCACAUGAUCCAUUGCAGUUAUUGUCUCACUAGGAAUGCCAUUGAUCGCGUGAUUCGUCACCGCCUAUCAGCGUUCGAAAAGAAAAAGCUCAGCGGGGAUGGGCGGAAAUGACAUACUAAUAACCGGAAGUUGGUUGCUUGCUCAGUGUUGGAGUGUAAUCAGAGAGGAUCAUGGAGUGUGAAAGUGUAUCCACAUCCAUCCGCCAGUAUGGAGCGCGCUGGAGGCUCUCAGUCUGUGCGAGGAGGCAGCCAGCAUGGCGGGUGAGGAUCUGAGUGUGAUAUUAAUCAUGUUUUAUAUUCCAGGAAUGCCCUGCCUGGUGCAGUUAGUAUGCCAUGUGCAGACAGCAAAAUAUGGAGAAUACUACAGCAGGACAAUGUGAUCUCAUCUGCCCUGUGCUGGCUGUGUGUGAGUACACUAUCAUUUAAUAAUGAAUGGCCAUCCUUCUAUUAUCUGCUGUGUGUGUGAGCACACUAUCAUUUAAUAAUGAAUGGCCAUCCUUCUAUUAUCUGCUGUGUGUGAGCACACUAUCAUUUAAUAAUGAAUGGCCAUCCUUCUAUUAUCUGCUGUGUGUGUGAGUACACUAUCAUUUAAUAAUGAAUGGCCAUCCUUCUAUUAUCUGCUGUGUGUGAGCACACUAUCAUUUAAUAAUGAAUGGCCAUCCUUCUAUUAUCUGCUGUGUGUGUGAGCACACUAUCAUUUAAUAAUGAAUGGCCAUCCUUCUAUUAUCUGCUGUGUGUGAGCACACUAUCAUUUAAUAAUGAAUGGCCAUCCUUCUAUUAUCUGCUGUGUGUGUGAGCACACUAUCAUUUAAUAAUGAAUGGCCAUCCUUCUAUUAUCUGCACACUAUCAUUUAAUAAUGAAUGGCCAUCCUUCUAUUAUCUGCUGUGUGUGAGCACACUAUCAUUUAAUAAUGAAUGGCCAUCCUUCUAUUAUCUGCUGUGUGUGUGAGCACACUAUCAUUUAAUAAUGAAUGGCCUCCUUCUAUUAUCUGCUGUGUGUGUGAGUACACUAUCAUUUAAUAAUGAAUGGACAUCCUUCUAUUAUCUGCUGUGUGUGUGUGUGAGUACACUAUCAUUUAAUAACGAAUGGCCAUCCUUUUAUUAUUGGCUGUGUGUGAGAAUACAACCAUAUAAUAAUGAAUGUUGUGUAAAGACUCCAUCACAAUUUCUUUCAGAUACUGACACAUCCACAAUGUGUUUCCGGACACUGGAUAUAACCGAAAGCUCUGCCUUGUAGUACUGACAGUCAGAAUUCAAGAUUGAUUAGUCCUGCAGCAUAUCAUUUCUACGUGCUGCCUAUCAAUAUGAAAUAAGGGGUGGGCAGUUGUCCUGGUAGACAUGGUGAGUUUGCCAGCCUUAGUUUUUCUUUAUAAAUGUAUUUUUGGCCAAACUUCUUCCAUGAUAAAAAUGAACACUCCAGGCACCAGAAGAACUUGAUCUAGAUUAAGUUGUUAUGGUGCUGCCCCCAGACGCACUCUUACCUUCAUGGGUUAAACCGUUCUCGAAUGGUUAAACACCAAAUUUUCCAUCGUCGGUCUCUGCUUCUCCGGGCAGCACCCGGCUUCUGAGAUUUCACUUACAGGAAUGGCGGAGUGCCGUUGGGCAUGGGCGCUGCUAAUUGCCUGGAAGCAGUCAGCUUCUGCUCUCAGCCAAUCCGUGACUCCCCAAUCUUCAGAAGUAAAUUUUAGAAGCCGUAUGCCACCGAAGGUGAGCUGAAACCGGUGCUGGCGGCAACUUGGGGUUAAACAGUUCAAAGGACACUAAAUGCAUUAAAACAAUUUUAACUCAAUGAAGCAGUUCUGGUAUAUAAAUCUGAAAUAUAUUGUACUCUAGUUAUUUUAAAAUCUUAAUUGUGAAUUAGACUUCUAAUGUGUUUAAGGGGUUAAAAUGAAAUGUAUGGUUGGUUAAAAAGUAAGCAUCCAGAGUAUAACAACUUAUUUUUAUUUCCCCCCUCCCAUCCUUCUACUUUUUCAUCUUCAGAAAGCAUGACCAAUGUCUGUGGAGAUAAUCAGUGAGAACUUACUGCAAUGAAGUUUGGAAAGAGUCAUUCAUUUUCUGCUUAAUGGAAAGGUAAACUUAUUUGCUUGGGUAAAUCACUGCUGUAUUUUAAUCCUUUUGAUGGCAAACAAGCAAUAGUGUAAAGGAAAAAAAAAAUCCAAAACCUAAGAGAGAAACAACUCUCCAAAUCUUGUAAACCGUUUUUACGCACCUUUUAUUCAUAUCCUUGUCUGAGAUCACCCUGAUGGACGAUCUUGGUCCAAUCCAAAGCUCCUCACAGUUGCUGUCAAUCUGAAAACCACUACAGAUGUGUUUGGGGUUUUUAAUUUAGACUGCCACUCAAAAGGGACCUGGUCUUGGCAACAAAACCAUUUCAUUAAGAGGAAGUGACUUGGUGCUCAGUGUCCAUGAAAUAAAGCAGAUUAAGAUGAUCUUCUAAAAUAAACACACUCUUUGUACUUUGUGAGCAUAAGGUUCCAAAUGAGCACAUUUUGAGACUGCAGG